GACAGAGGUGCCGAGCGUUAGGCGGAAUCACUGGGCUUAAAGCGUGUGUAGGCGGAUCGUUAAGUGCCUUGUGAAAUCCCACGGCUCAACCGUGGAACUGCUUGGCAUACUGGCGAUCUUGAGCCACUUAGGGGCUACCGGAACAAAUGGUGGAGCGGUGAAAUGCGUAGAUAUCAUUUGGAACGCCAAUGGUGAAAACAGGUAGCUGGGGAUGUGCCGACGCUGAGACACGAAAGCCAGGGGAGCGAACGGG
rnacentral:rRNA from 1 species